UAUUUCUUUUUUUUUUUUAAAUUAAAAAAAAUUGGGGCUUCAGCCCAUUUUCCUCUAACCCUACUCCUCCCCCAUUCUCUUAGGCGUUCUCCCUCUCUCACACUACUCGAUCUCUCUCCGCCUCUCUCACGCUUAUCUCUGUCGAUCUCCUCGUCUCUCUCAUACUCGAUCUCUCCAUCUUUCUCUCUGUACGAGAAAUCGACGGCGACACAGGGGGCUUGGUGACGACGACUUAGGCGCAAACGAGGGUGCUAGGUGGUUGUGAUGGCAGCGGGUUUGGGGGGAUCAACAUCAAUGGAAUAUGACCAAGUGGAGAUGAGGAGCGGGAUAGAAUAUGACCAAGUGGAUAUGUCAAACUUAAAGCAUUGGAUUGGUACUUGGGUUGCAAGAGGUAGUAAAUAGGGUUUCUCAUAUGCACGUGUGGUGAUGUGGGGAGUUCCGACGUCAGGGUGUGUAUGGCGUGGGGGUAUCCUAUGGGCGAACAAAUGAUCAGCUUAAAACGCCAAAAUUUAAAGGACGAUGUCAUGUUUUUAUUUUGAUUUCCAAACUUGUUAGUGGGACUUGAACUAUAUUGUUUUUUAAAACGUUGCAUGAGAACUUUUAUUUUAUUUUAAACUAUUGGGCCCAAUUCGCAUGUUUUAGCAAGACCCCAUUGAAAUUUUCAUAUAAUAAGUGGUUUUUCU